AGAGUUUGAUCCUGGCUCAGAACGAACGCUGGCGGCGUGGAUAAGACAUGCAAGUCGAACGAGAAUUGCGAAUAGCUUGCUAAUUGCAAUUUUAGUGGCGGACGGGUGAGUAACACGUGAGCAACCUGCCCGAAAGUGGGGAAUAGCCCGGGGAAACUCGGAUUAAUACCGCACAUGAUUUUGUAGGGCAUCCUACAAAAAUCAAAGCUGGGGAUCGUAAGACCUGGCGCUUUCGGAUGGGCUCGCGGCCUAUCAGCUUGUUGGUGAGGUAAUAGCUCACCAAGGCUACGACGGGUAACUGGUCUGAGAGGAUGAUCAGUCACACUGGAACUGAGACACGGUCCAGACACCUACGGGUGGCAGCAGUCGAGAAUCAUUCACAAUGGGGGAAACCCUGAUGGUGCGACGCCGCGUGGAGGAUGACGGCCCUAGGGUUGUAAACUCCUGUCAUCAGAGAGUAACGUUGUGCAGUUAAUAACUGCGCAAUUUGAUAGUAUCUGAAGAGGAAGGGACGGCUAACUUCGUGCCAGCAGCCGCGGUAAUACGAAGGUCCCAAGCGUUGUUCGGAAUUACUGGGCGUAAA
rnacentral:rRNA from 1 species